rnacentral:rRNA from 1 species
AUGACGACCUACCUGCUGCUGCUCCUCCUCUUGCCUGCGACAAUCAUGGUGGUGGCCAGCCAGCAAAACCCUCCUAGCACACCGGCACCGAUCACGCUACCGGGAUGCCCCGACAAGUGCGGCCAAGUGAGCAUCCCGUACCCCUUCGGCAUCAAGGAUGGCUGCUACCUCCCAGGCUUCCACAUCAUCUGCAAUGACACCUUCCAUCCCCCCCGCGCCUUCUUUCCCGCUGAUAAUCCUUUAGGCUGGACGCAAACCAGAACCCAAGUAAUCUACUACUCCACCAGCCACAUCCCCGAGCCAGAUAAGCUUAUCAACUCAUCCUCGUCGCCUGUUGAGCUCUCGGGCGUGUCCCUGGUGGAGGGGAAGCUAGUGGUGCAUGCCCCGUUCAGCUACGACUGCACACUCAACUUGUCGUGGAACGCGGCGACAACGAUGACUAUGCAAUUCCCGUAUGAGAGUAAGUUCCUCCUGUCACAUGGAAGCACCGUGCUGAUGGGCAUCGGGAGAUCUGCCAAGGCCCGGCAGACCCUUGGUCCAAGUUGUGAGGCGUACGAUGGAGUCUACCUCCCCGAGCGCAUGAACACGACGGCGUGCUCAGGGUUGGGCUGCUGCCAGGUCGCCAUACAGCCCGAGCCGCCAAAACCGGGCUUUUUCAACGUCCACGUCUAUCUUGAGAGGGAGUACUACAGAACCAGAGGUUGCUCCUACGCCAUGCUUGCGGACAAGUCCUGGUACAACUUCACGACCAUGGACCUCGACGGCGACGUUUUCUUGCGGAGGAACGACGCCGGAGGGGUGUCCGUCGUGCUAGACUUCGUGGCCGGUUUCCAUCCAUGUCCGCGACCUCAGCAACCAGAGCCUAAGGGAUAUGCGUGCACCAGCGACAAGAGUAGGUGUGUCGAAGUCCCCUUGUUGUACACCGAUGCGUACAUCUGCAGGUGCUUGGACGGGUACGAAGGCAACCCUUAUAUACCAACUGCUGGUUGCCAAGACAUUAACGAGUGUGAGAGGCCGGAUUUGUACCCUUGCCACGGGAUAUGCCAGAACAUGCAAGGAGGAUACAAAUGCACCUGCCCUGCCGGAACCAGGGGCAAUGCCACACAAGGGCGUUGCACCGAUAUAUUUCCUCUACCAGCAAAGCUGUCACUAAGUGCAACCGGCGGUCUUUUUCUCAUAGCACUUUUGGGGUUUGCCGUCCUUCUCCGUAGAGAGAAAAGGAAGAUGAGACAAUUUUUUGAGAGAAAUGGCGGCCCUGCACUAAAAGAGGCAAAAAUUAUAAAGAUCUACACAAGAGACGAGCUCAAGCAGAUUAUAAAAACUACAAAUUUUAUAGGCAAGGGUUGCUAUGGUGAAGUUUACAAGGGCUUUCUUGAUAAUCAACUAGUUGCGGUAAAGAAGCCCAUUAAGGACAAUAUCGCACCAAACGAGCAAUUUGCAAACGAAGUCAUUAUUCAAUCUCAAGUCAUCCACAAGAAUAUUGUUAGGCUCGUAGGUUGUUGCCUGGAAGUUGAUAUGCCGAUGCUAGUUUACGAGUUCCUCUCCAGAGGCAGCCUCGAUGACACUCUUCACAACAACAACGACGACGACAAGAAGAAGGUGACUCUUGACUUAGAUAAACGUCUAAAUAUUGCUGCAGAAUCAGCUGAUGGUCUUGCUUACAUGCAUUCAAAAACUAGCAAGACAAUUCUACAUGGUGAUGUGAAACCAGCAAAUAUACUCUUGGAUGAUUAUUAUGUACCAAAGAUAUCUGACUUUGGUAUAUCAAGGUUGAUUGCAAAAGAUAAAGAGCACACCUUAACAGUCAUUGGCGACAGGACUUACAUGGAUCCAGCAUAUCUACAAACUGGCCUACUGACAGAGAAAAGUGAUGUCUACAGCUUUGGAGUUGUACUAUUGGAACUUGUAAGUCGGAGGAAGGCUACAUAUUUGGAUAAUAAUAGCUUACUAAGAAACUUCCUUGAUUUUCAGAAAAAAGAGAUGAUACCAACCGAGUUGUUCGACAAAAAAUUUCAAGAACCGAGAGAUUUGGAGAUUCUUAGUAGCAUUACAAGGGUUGCCAUGGGAUGUCUUAGUCUUGAUGUGGAUGAAAGACCAGCAAUGAUGGAUGUAGCAGAGCGCCUUCUCACAUUGAAGAGAUCUCUUGUGUAG